AGGGGUAUAGAUCAGUGGUAGAGUGCGUGCUUAGCAUGCACGAGGUCCUAGGUUCAAUCCCCAGUACCUCCA
rnacentral:tRNA from 1 species